GGGGAGGGGACACGGCGAGGCCCGGCGCCCCCGGAGGCGGCCGCUCCGCGCUGCCGUACCUGCGCUGGAAGUCGGUCCGGAAGGGCUCCAGCGUGUCGGAUGCCCGGGUGAACUCUGCGUUCCCACACACACAAAGCCCACUGCGCGCCCCGGCCAACAGCAACACCCCCCCAAAGCAGAUUUGGCAUCAUCAAAAGCCUUACUUUUGUGAUGUUCUGGUCACCUUUCCAGUUCCUUCUAAGUCCUGAGCUUGGCAGUCUUCCUGACGCAGACAGAGAUGGGACUUUGUAAGUCAUCAGCCCUUGAGACCUACACAAGAAAAACAGUGAUGUUUAGGUUGAGGGAUUCUAAUUCCUCAGCUUUGGCUGCACACAGUGAAAAUACUGAAUUACUCUUUAAAUUAAUGAAUUAUCUGUUGCUUCUUGACCUAAGCACUCCUGCAGCUGUCUCCCCAGCAACUCCUGUGGUGCCAUCUGAUUCAACACGUGCACAAGGAACAUUGCAAAGGGAGCUGAGUCAUUCUCUAAAUCUGGAACAUCAUCCUCAGAACACAAAACCUUCCCCUGCAGGACUAAUGGGCAAGUAUUAACUGUGUCAUUCUGCAUAGGAUGUUUUAGCUUCUCUUACUUUAAAUUACUAGUGUGUCUUACUGAAAAGCACAUAAUUUAGCUGUAUCCACCAAAAUUUUCUUUGUGACAUUUGUGUUGCAAAGUGCCAAAUACUUAUGUUCUUACUUCUGUGUUCCAUUUCCUUUUCUUGUAAUUAAUUGUCAUUUCAGAAUAAACUCAUCUUCACUGAUUGUUUUUAGUACAUACAUGUAAUUUCUGUGAACUGUGACUACUUUGCUG